rnacentral:rRNA from 1 species
UGGGCUUGAAACGCAGUGGACAGGUUGUGAAAGCAACCCUCUCUUCGGAGCCGCUGUAC